CGCUCUGUCAGAGUGUCCAUGUGGCUGAAUUGUUUCCAGAAAAGAGCCUCCUGUCUCCUCACAGCUCAGACAUGAAGCCCAUCCUCAUCUCAGCGCUUGUGAUGAUAUUCACACUCAGAGGAAGAAGAGCCCAGUCAGUGACUCAGCCUGAGGACCACAUCUCUGUCUUUGAAGGGGCCCCGGUACAGGUGAAGUGCAACUAUUCAUAUUCUGGGAGUCCUGUGCUCUUCUGGUAUGUUCAGUACCCCAAACAAGGCCUCCGUUUACUCUUGAAACACACCUCAGGAGAGAGCAUCAAAGGCUUCACGGCCAACCUUAACAAGGGUGAGAGGUCCUUCCAUCUGAAGAAACCAUCAGCUCAAGAGGAAGACUCAGCCAUGUAUUACUGUGCUCUUGAGGGACACAGUGACUGGUUUUACAAGGGAGGAAGCAGCAAAAGAGUGCUGCUGAACUUGCUUGGGGUGCUCCUGAAACUUGCCAAGAAACCACCUGUGGGGCUGUCACUGAACUUUGCUGGAAUUGGAGUGUCACUGGUGUCUCACAGCCUGGCCAAGCACUGCAGGAACAAGAAGUGUUUCUCAAAGUCUUCAUCCUAUUUUCCAUGGAAACUUCAAGUAUCACUGUUGGAUAUGCUGGAGCAUAAGACCAAAGUGGUAAAGCAGAUUGUACUGAAGCCUGAACUUGCUGUACAGCUUCCUCUUGCUCUGGUCCCCGCUCAAAACUGGCAGCUCUACAGGUGA